rnacentral:rRNA from 1 species
UGGAGGCAGCAGUGGGGAAUAUUGCACAAUGGGCGAAAGCCUGAUGCAGCAACGCCGCGUGCACGAUGAAGGUCUUCGGAUCGUAAAGUGCUUUUCUGGGAGAUGAGAAAGGACAGUAUCCCAGGAAUAAGUCUCGGCUAACUACGUGCCAGCAGCCGCGGUAAAACGUAGGAGGCAAGCGUUAUCCGGAUUCACUGGGCGUAAAGCGCGUGCAGGCGGCUCGGUAAGUUGGGCGUGAAAUCUCCUGGCUUAACUAGGAGAGGCCGUUCAAUACUACCGGGCUAGAGAGCAGUAGAGGAAGAUGGAAUUCCCGGUGUAGUGGUGAAAUGCGUAGAUAUCGGGAGGAACACCAGUGGCGAAGGCGGUCUUCUGGACUGUUUCUGACGCUCAGACGCGAAAGCUAGGGUAGUAAACGGGAUUAGAUACCCCGGUAGU